rnacentral:rRNA from 1 species
AAGAAACCAACAGGGAUUGCCUCAGUAACGGCGAGUGAAGCGGCAACAGCUCAAAUUUGAAAUCUUGGCCCUAGGCCCGAGUUGUAAUUUGCAGAGGAUGUUUCUGGCGAGGUGCCUUCCGAGUUCCCUGGAACGGGACGCCAUAGAGGGUGAGAGCCCCGUACGGUUGGUCGCUAAGCCUCUGUGAAACUCCUUCGACGAGUCGAGUAGUUUGGGAAUGCUGCUCUAAAUGGGAGGUAUACGUCUUCUAAAGCUAAAUACCGGCCAGAGACCGAUAGCGCACAAGUAGAGUGAUCGAAAGAUGAAAAGCACUUUGAAAAGAGGGUUAAAUAGUACGUGAAAUUGUUGAAAGGGAAGCGCUUAUGACCAGACUUGGACCGGUUGAUCAUCCAUCGUUCUCGGUGGUGCACUCUGCCGGUUCAGGCCAGCAUCAGUUUGUCCCGGGGGAUAAAGGCUUUGGGAAUGUGGCUCUUCGGAGUGUUAUAGCCCAUUGCGUAAUACCCUGGGAUAGACUGAGGUUCGCGCUCCGCAAGGAUGCUGGCGUAAUGGUCAUCAGUGACCCGUCUUGAAACACGGACCAAGGAGUCGUCUUCGUAUGCGAGUGUUCGGGUGUCAAACCCCUACGCGUAAUGAAAGUGAACGUAGGAGAGAGCUUCGGCGCAUCUCCGACCGAUCCUGAUGUUCUCGGAUGGAUUUGAGUAAGAGCAUACGGGGCCGGACCCGAAAGAAGGUGAACUAUGCUUGUAUAGGGUGAAGCCAGAGGAAACUCUGGUGGAGGCUCGCAGCGGUUCUGACGUGCAAAUCGAUCGUCAAAAUAUGAGCAUGGGGGCGAAAGACUAA